GCGUCUGAUUAGCUUGUUGGCGGGGUAACGGCCCACCAAGGCUACGAUCAGUAGGGGUUCUGAGAGGAAGGUCCCCCACAUUGGAACUGAGACACGGUCCAAACUCCUACGGGAGGCAGCAGUGAGGAAUAUUGGUCAAUGGACGAGAGUCUGAACCAGCCAAGUAGCGUGCAGGAUGACGGCCCUAUGGGUUGUAAACUGCUUUUAUAAGGGAAUAAAGUGAGUCUCGUGAGACUUUUUGCAUGUACCUUAUGAAUAAGGACCGGCUAAUUCCGUGCCAGCAGCCGCGGUAAUACGGAAGGUCCGGGCGUUAUCCGGAUUUAUUGGGUUUAAAGGGAGCGUAGGCCGGAGAUUAAGCGUGUUGUGAAAUGUAGAUGCUCAACAUCUGCACUGCAGCGCGAACUGGUUUCCUUGAGUACGCACAAAGUGGGCGGAAUUCGUGGUGUAGCGGUGAAAUGCUUAGAUAUCACGAAGAACUCCGAUUGCGAAGGCAGCUCACUGGAGCGCAACUGACGCUGAAGCUCGAAAGUGCGGGUAUCGAACAGGAUUAGAUACCCUGGUAGUCCGCACGGUAAACGAUGGAUGCCCGCUGUUGGUCUGAAUAGGUCAGCGGCCAAGCGAAAGCAUUAAGCAUCCCACCUGGGG
rnacentral:rRNA from 1 species